GCUGCGAUCGCAUGACAUCACCCCCGAAUUCCUCGACAAGGCGAUUUCCGCCCUUAAACAGUGGGGCUUUGAUUUUCUCUCCAUCGGCGAGGUUGCAGAACGCGCGCAACAGGCGGCCCUCGCACGCCGGUUUGUCUGCCUCACGUUCGACGGCGGCCAUCGCGAUUUCAUGACGUAUGCGUACCCGGUGUUGUCGCGCCAUCGUGUACCGUUCGCCCUGUACAUUCCGACGNGUCGAUGGCAUCGGCAAGGCGUGGUGGCUUGCGCUUGAACAGGUCAUCGCGCGCCAUGCCC
rnacentral:misc_RNA from 1 species